rnacentral:rRNA from 1 species
UGGAUUAGUGGCGAACGGGUGAGUAACACGUGGGCAAUCUGCCCUUCACUCUGGGACAAGCCCUGGAAACGGGGUCUAAUACCGGAUACGACCUGCCUCCGCAUGGGGGUGGGUGGAAAGCUCCGGCGGUGAAGGAUGAGCCCGCGGCCUAUCAGCUUGUUGGUGGGGUAAUGGCCUACCAAGGCGACGACGGGUAGCCGGCCUGAGAGGGCGACCGGCCACACUGGGACUGAGACACGGCCCAGACUCCUACGGGAGGCAGCAGUGGGGAAUAUUGCACAAUGGGCGAAAGCCUGAUGCAGCGACGCCGCGUGAGGGAUGACGGCCUUCGGGUUGUAAACCUCUUUCAGCAGGGAAGAAGCGAGAGUGACGGUACCUGCAGAAGAAGCGCCGGCUAACUACGUGCCAGCAGCCGCGGUAAUACGUAGGGCGCAAGCGUUGUCCGGAAUUAUUGGGCGUAAAGAGCUCGUAGGCGGCUUGUUGCGUCGGAUGUGAAAGCCCGGGGCUUAACCCCGGGUCUGCAUUCGAUACGGGCAGGCUAGAGUGUGGUAGGGGAGAUCGGAAUUCCUGGUGUAGCGGUGAAAUGCGCAGAUAUCAGGAGGAACACCGGUGGCGAAGGCGGAUCUCUGGGCCAUUACUGACGCUGAGGAGCGAAAGCGUGGGGAGCGAACAGGAUUAGAUACCCUGGUAGUCCACGCCG